AAAUAAAAUGGCUGUUAUCUUCACAUUGGAUUACAUUCUUCUGUUAGUCUGCAUUGCUUUUACAUGGUGAUAUCUGAAUAGUUAAUACAAUAGCAAUUGUAUCUUUGCUUAAGCUCUUUUUGUGUUUGUUUCAGAUCAAUGGAUAGCUUUGUCAUUAACACUUUGACAGAGUGCCAGACCUUGUCGAAAGAUUUAAAGUAGCUUCCAUGUAAUGUGUCAAAGUGACUCCAAUAGAUGAAUAGAGCCAGCCACUGGAUUCCUGGAGGAAAGGCUGCGGAACGUCAGGAAGCGGCUGAGAUCAACCAGCAGGUCGCAGAGCACGGCACAGACACCACCACAAAUGCCAGAUGAUGGCGCUCUUGCAAGGGCUCUCAUUCCAGAAUGUACCAUAUCAGACGAACGUGAGUCACAGCUUAAAGAAUGGUUGAGAAACAAUUCUCAGCCCCUCAGUCAGAUAGAGACCUACAUGCAGAACACGGCAGUCUACAGGGCCAAGUGGAUUAGGGACAACAAUUGGACCAUCGAUCAGAUCCUCGACCUAUUGGAGACACAGGUUUUAGUCAAGGACCUUCAUCAGACAUCAAAUUUAUAUUUGAUAUAUUUAGAGCUUUUUCACACUUGGUGCGUUUCAGUCCUCCAAAAGAACUCCAACCCAUUAGUCAGCAUUUUUGUGCAUAUGUCAACACUCCAUUUUAAAGGGGGCUUUCACAACUGCCUUAUUUAGUUCGGUUGAAUUGAGCUAGAGUUUGUUUUCCCCCUUGGUGCAAAGGCAUGGUAGGUAUAGGGAAAUAUGAUCUUACAUAUGAGGAUGCAUUGUUUAUAAUGUUUUAUUAGUGUGCCACAUUGAAUUGGUUUUAAAAAUGUGUUUUCCAUUUUAUAGAUUGCACAGGCUUGUCCUGCAUGGGGAUGCUGCAUCAAAGUUGUUUGAAACUUGGUCAUAUGAAAUGCCAGGAGGGGAGUCUAAAAUGGUAAAGUUUAUUCAAAGUAGAAUACUUGCUUGCAAGUAGAGCUAAUGGCUCUUAAUAGCAGCUUUUUAAUAGGAAUUUGAAUUUGUUCACUAUAGACCUGUUGACUGUUGGCCUGUUGAAUG